rnacentral:lncRNA from 1 species
CUUUCAAUGACUCCACAGCUGCUUCUCUCUAAUGACUUGAGCCAUAAGGAAAAUUUGGGGUAUCAGGGAAGACACUCCUGGUCCUUGUCCUAGAUGAACCUUCUGCAAAUAACUGGUUUAAUAAAACCUGAUGUUUCUCAAAGAUGGAGAAUCAAAGUGGAACUGGCACAAGAGGUAAACACAGAAUGGUGCACAAGAAGCUGAUAACGUUGCCUCUGAUGGGGAAAACUGAGUAGUGGAGACAGAGAGACCUUAAACUCAAGGACAAGUACCAUGGCUCCUUUUCGGCAAUCAAAGCACACAACUUUAUUGAUGAUACAUACAAAUGUAGGCUUGGGUGGAUGAGGUUACGUCAGUAGAGCACGUAGAAGGGGCGUGUACUUUUUGAUGAACAGGUUCACUAUCCAUCAGCUCACGCAGAAGAAAAGAGUAAAUGGAAAAGAAGUCAACCUAAGCAGCUACAAACUGCAUUUUCAGCACAAGCUCCGAUACCUGUCUGGUCUCCACCAAACAGUCCAGCUUACACACGGAGACCCAGGCAAGGUGAGGGACACAGGCAAGGUGUCCCUCGUGACGCUAUAAUGGGAUGUUCUUUAUCGACAGCGGGCAGCUGAAAUGAUCCCUUUACCACAGGAAGGAGGCUGCAAGGGACUAAUUUACUAUGUGCAUUGCCUGCAGACUGCAAAACCAAGAGGUUACUCAGAGCUCCGUGGGAACCCUGCCUGCCUGGCCGAUAAGAGUGUGGUCCUCCUGUUAGCAAGUGUAACUUUCACCCCAUGAUGUGGUGAUUGGCGAGGGCUGGAC